AGGUUUCUGGGGGUCCUUAUGGGUCCUUAUGGGUCCCUAUGGGGUCUCUAUGGGUCCCUAUGGGUCUCUAUGGGGUCUCUAUGGGUCCCUAUGGGUUCCUCUUUGAGUCCCUAUAGGGUCCUUAUGGGUCCCUAUGUGCCUCUAUGGGGUCCCUAUGGGGUCUCUAUGUAUCCCUAUAGGUCCCUCUUUGAGUCCCUAUAGUUUCUGGGGGUCUCUGGGGUUCCCACGUUUCCACGUCCCACGUUUCCAUGUUCCCAUGACCCCAUAAUCCCAAAAUCCCAUGUUCCCACAUUUCCACAUUCCCACAUUUCCAUGUUCCCAUGUUCCCACGUUCCCAUGUUUCCAGACCCCAUGUUCCCACAUUCCCACGUUCCCAUGUUCCCUUUCCAUGUUCCCACGUUCCCACGUUUCCACGUUCCCAUGUUCCCUUUCCAUGUUCCCAUGUUCCCACAUUUCCACGUUCCCACAUUUCCAUGUUCCCAUGAUCCCAUAUUUCCACGUUCCCAUGUUCCCACAUUCCCACGUUCCCACAUUCCCAUGUUCCCAUGUUCCCAUGAUCCCAUAUUUCCACGUUCCCAUGUUCCCAUGUUCCCACGUUCCCACAUUCCCAUGUUUCCAUGUUCCCAUGAUCCCAUGUUCCCACGUUCCCACAUUUCCACGUUCCCACGUUCCCACAUUCCCAUGUUUCCAUGUUCCCAUGAUCCCAUAUUUCCACGUUCCCAUGUUCCCACAUUCCCAUGUUCCCACAUUUCCACGUUCCCACAUUUCCAUGUUCCCACGUUCCCACAUUUCCAUGUUCCCAUGUUCCCAUGUUCCCACAUUUCCAUGUUUCCACGUUCCCAUGUUUCCAGACCCCAUGUUCCCAUGUUCCCACGUUCCCAUGUUCCCAUGUUCCCACAUUUCCAUGUUCCCUUUCCAUGUUCCCUUUCCAUGUUCCCACGUUCCCAUGUUCCCACAUUUCCACAUUUCCACCUUCCCAUGUUUCCAGACCCCACCUUCCCACCUUCCCACAUCUCCACAUUUCCACAUCCCACCUCCCCACCCCCCCAAACCCCCCCUCACCUCGGGCUGACCACAUCCUGCGGUGCCUGGAACCACUCCUGCAAUUUACUCUCCAGCCCCACUCCCACCUUAACCAGGUAGGAGCUGGGAUCCACGCAGCAGGCCCAGUAGCUCCUGCCCUGCGUCACGGCCACGUCUCCGAUCACCACCUCGACGGAGAGGUGGCAGCUGCUCAGCAGCCUUUCGGCAGCGAAAAGCAUCGGGACCCCCGGCACGCUGCGCACCGCGCGCUGGUCCUUACUGAUGGCCAGCCGGUCCCGAUUGAAACCCCAGCGGUUGUCCAGGAAGAAAUUGAGGACUGCAAUGAGGAGGGGGGGGGAAGGGGGUGGUGAGAGAUGUGAUGUGGGAAUGGGGGAUGGGGGGAGCUGAGCCCCUUUGAUGUGACCUGGUACCCAUCUGUAGGGUGGCAUCCUGCAUAUAGAAGUAGGGGAGGGGUCCUAAGGAGCACAGGGAUGCUCAGAGGAUGGAGGAGGAGGAGGAGGAAGGAGGAGGACAGUGAUGUGGGAAUGGGGGUAGGGGGAGCUGAGCCCCCUUUUGCCCAUUUGUAGGGUGGCAUCCUGCAUAUGGAGGUAGGGGAGGGGUCCUAAGGGGUGCAGGGAUGCUCAGAGGAUGGAGGAGGAGGAGGAGGAGGAGGAGGAGGAGGAGGAGGAAGGAGGAGCUGUGCUUUGGGUCGUGCUUUUGGGCAUCUGCUGGUCCUUACUGAUGGCCAGCCCCCUAAACCCUCCCAAUCCCCCCCAGCCCCCCCCCAAAGCCCUCCCUAAACCCCCCCAAAGUC
ensembl:lncRNA